ACGAUUUACGAACAAACAAAAAGAUUUCUCCAGCUGAGGAAACAAAGGAAACACUCUUCACUGACAAAGGUCACAGAGAACAAAGGAACACUUCAUUUACUUUGAGGAGCACAUCCAAAUCUGGAUCUCUCAUCUCCGUUACAGUAGAUGGAAGAAGUUAUUCGAAUUGCUAACAUUGAACCCCAAGAAGACAAAGGUGAAGAUCAAGGACGUCCAAGGGUAGAAUAGUAAAUUUAACCUGACAAGUACACACUCUCAUGAUUUUAGAACGCUCCA
rnacentral:misc_RNA from 1 species